CACCCAUAAGAAAUAUCUUGAUGGUUUUAUGCCAUUCAGGAUAGUGCUUUCUAUCAAAUUUUUCAUCUGUAAUUUUGACAGAUGCCGAGAUUACUUUAGAAGCAACUAUAGGUGACUUCUCUGACAUUUUUGAACUCACAUUUGAUUUUUCAAUUUGAAUUUUCUCUGCUCUUUGGUCAGCUAUACUACAGACAACAAAUGAUAUCCAGAAUAGAAAGACUGAACC
rnacentral:lncRNA from 1 species